CCUACACUACGUCACUUCCUGUGGUGCGUGCCUCAGGUCCCUGACCGGAGAGAUGUUUGGUGGGCAGAAACGCUGCUCCACCACAAAGGAUGAGAACGUGUCCUCGUGUCUCCACCUUUGCUCAUGCUGUGUGCAGAAUGUUAGAACGUCUCCAGUUCCGCUCACGUGGACCCUGAAUCUUGCAGGUCUGAGGGUGCCAGCAUAUGGACAGUCCCCAGGGACAGAGGGAAGGUCCUUCUCUCCUAAGCUCUCCCUUGGGCCUUGUUCCUAUCUGAAGCUUCACCCAGAAGACCACUGGCCUCUGGAUAUGGAUCUGGAAGUACCCUGCCUGGUCUUAACUUUUAGAUAGUCCCCUUGGGCAACGCAUGGAAGCGACAGUUUCUUAGAAUCCAGAGUCGGGACACAAGCCAUGAGGAUUGAAGGCACGAAUGGAGGAAGACACGGAGGAGGAGACCAGUGAUAUUUUCCCUGCUCCAAGCUCUGGUGCCUAUCCACCAUGCUGUCCACCUCGGCCAACAUCCUGACUUGCUGAAGACAUCCGGGAAGACUUCCAGAAACCUGGCCAGAGCAGCCUUUGACGGCGGCAAGGCGAAAGCUGCACCCACUCGUGAAAUAAAUGGACCCGGGCCCACGGCCCUUUGUGGUAGUGUCUUGGCAGCUGAACAAAGGUGGCAGCAUUUCUACAUCCAGUCUGUAAAGCCUCAGAAGUUGCGGGCUCCAAGAUUUUCCCCCACGAGAAGCCCAUGUCGACUAUAAUGAGUGCAUUUUCGAUGUUGUGCUGAAAGCUGGCAACGGAUUAAAGAAGUCUAUGUCCAAGACAAAUGUUUCCUUACAAACCUGAAGAAUGAAGUGGCUUUCAUAAUCAAUUUUAAGAUCAAAUGCCUGGGCUGAAGUACCUGGUUCUGGUUGGCUAUUUAAUUGGGGACAAUUAAUUUACCUCUGUGCGCUUGCUUUCUUCACUGAGAAACGGACGAGAUAAUGAAGGUGCUUUGUCAGCUCUGAAAUAUGGUGUAAAUAUUAACAAACACUGCCCGGACAGCUUCCCUGUGCCUGAUGAAUCACUUCACUUCACGCAGCGCUAAGAAGUGGCCAACCCCCAGAAGAAAUGAAAAUAAACCAGACCCAGCUCAUUUAUUACAGAGGGGUCGAUCUCCAGAAGAAGUCUCUUCCAACCCAAACCCCUACUGAACUUACUGGAGUCUAUCAAAGAAGGCAGAAGAAACUGCAUGCGAAUUUGAAUGGAGGAUCUGUUCCCAUCUGCUGUACAGAGCCAUCAGCCCAUAGUAGGAUUCAACUGUGUGACUUCCCCCCAGAAGUGAGAGUAAAUGCCAGGAACAAAAAUUCCUGAAAUUAGAUGUUAAUUCUCGAAUACAUUUCUUAUGACAUUUUGCAAGCUGUCCAGAUAGACUUCUUCAAACUACACAAGGCUUUUGUAGACACUUUUCCUUCGCCAUAAUUUUAAUAAAUCUAAUCUACUGAAGUUGGUUAUUUAAAAGUACAGUUGCGGAUGGGGGUGGGCUGGAGAAGUGGUUAGGUGGUUAAGAGAGUUCAGUGUUCUCGUAGAAGACAGGGCAGGCAGUUCCCAGCACCCACGUCUGGCAGCUCACAACAAUCUGUUAACUCCGGCUUCAGGGCCUCCAACCUGUGCUCACAAACACACAUACCCCCCCAUACAUAUAUACAAUAUUCAAAUACAAAUUAAUCUUUAAGAAAUAAAAUACAGUUGUGGUCCCGUGGGUCAACUCUAGGCUGUAAGUUGUGUGGGUUAGUGAACUUGGUUACUGCCAAUACUUGGCUGAGAAGUCUGGCAUAUUUGUAAUAUAGAUAGCCACCACCGUCACCAUUUUCCAAUUAAUUUUUGUUUUUUGAGACAGGGUUUCCCCUUGUAACCUUGACUGUCCUGUGGACCAGGCUGGCCUUGAACCUAAGAGAUCUGCCUGCCUCUGCCUCCCAAAUGCUGAGAUUAAAGGUGUGUGCCACCACUGCCCAGCUAAUUACCUUAUCUUAUAAAGUAGAAAUUCGCCACCAAAGCUACACAGACUAUGAAAAUCCUUUUUCUGUUUACUGAAAAGGGUUUUUUUUUUUUUUUUUUUUUUUUUUUUUUUUUUGAGGCAGGGUUAAUCUGUAGCUUUGGAGCCUGUCCUGGAACUAGCUCUCUGUAGACCAGGUUGGGCUAGAACUCAAAGAUCCGCGUGCCUCUGUCUCCCGAGUGCUGGGAUUAAAGAUGUGCGCCACCACCGCCCGGCGGGUUCUCACUAUUGUAACCUUGGCUGGUCUGAAACUCACAGCAAUUCUCCUGCCUGAGAUCCUCAUAUAGCACACCUGGCAUGAAAGAUCCUUUUUAACAAACUAGGGCUUUACCAGGGUGCAGCUCUGGCAGAAUGCUUGCCUGGCACCCUUACACCUUCCACAAAGCCCCAAGCUAGAGGAUACCCAAACACAAAAGAUGGCACCUUAUACGCUUCUGGCUACAUGGCUGCAGUAGACUGAAACAGGUCCUAUUUUGUAGUUACUGCUGUCUAAGGGAAUCUAUUUGCUCAUCCCUUCCACCUAGGCUAGCCAAGUGACUUGCUUCGACAAUAUGGGGUACAAGUGAUACCCCUGAGUUUCUGAGUCAGGCUUUGAAAGUGCCCUUGGUACUCCAGGACCACAACGACAUUAAGAUAAGACCACAUGGAGAGACCAACCAUCCCACCUAGACACCAACAAAUUUUCAAACAAAAGACAGAAAGCCCACACGACCUUUGCAAAGAAAUUGUUUAACCAAUCUCAAAAGUGUGAACAGUGAAAUGCUUUCUUUAAGCCAUUGGGUUUGAGCAGCAACAGGCAUUGAAAAUAAAUCAUCUAAUCCUUACAGCACCGCCUUCUGGUGGAGGAGACAGACCUUGGCUGGGACAGCCUGCCAGGCACAACAACUCGAAACAAAUGACAGGCCAGGGCCGAUCGGUCAGUUCUCUGUUAGAAACAAACACUGUGCAUAAUGCCAAUAACAUAAAGUCGUUUCGUCUUCUAUAACCUGCAUAGGCAACGUGUCCUGAUUUGAUACACCACAGGGCUUGACUCAGCGCUUCAGCAAAUGUAUCUGACAAAUGCAUUUUCCUACACCUUAAGCCACAUACGAAA